UUCUUUGUUUGUUUGUGCGUGUCUGUUUGGUUGUGUUUGUUUCUUUGUGUCUAUGUGUGAGUUAAUGCGUGUGUUGUGUUGGAUCACUUUGUCUUGAGCAGUGAGGGAUGAACGGGACCGCCAACUAUCUCAAGUGCAAACUUUGACUACUGAAUUAGAGAAGUCGAAAGAUUCUAUAGAGAAGUCCUGCUCCGAACUGANCAACAUGACCAUAAGAACAAAUGAACUGGAGGAAAAAUGUGNUUUGCAAGAUGAGCGGAUAAAGUUGCUGCAAUAGAACAUNACCACUGCAGAGGAGAAACUGCAGGUUUCUGACAUAUCUGCAAAUGAGACAAGAACAUAAUUUGAAGGGCAACAAAAGCUUGUACAUGAGUUGCAAAGGCGUUUGGAAGAUGCANAAUAUAAAGUUAUAGUAGGGGAGAAAUUGGGGAAAGAAUUGCACAAUACAAUUUUGGGAACAUCCGCGUGUUCUGUAGAGUGCGNCCUUUGUUACCUGAUGAGGCUUGUAACACAGAAGGAAAGGUUAUAUCUUUUCCCACAUCAAUGGAAGCUUCUGGACGGGGCAUUGAAUUGACACAGUGGCCAAAAACAUUCAUUCACAUUUGAUAAAGUUUUUGCACCUGAUGCGUUACAAGAAGAAGUUUUUAUUGAAAUUUCACAACUUGUGCANAAUGGUCUUGAUGGGUUAUAAGAUGAUAAACUUAGGGCUGUCACUAAUAUUNAGGGUGCUGCAGACAUUAAAGAUACAAAAGUAGUCUUGGUGGAGGUAGGAAAUGGUGGCAACACUGUUAUGAGAACUUGGAAUAUUAAGAAUCAGGAACUCUGGUUACUGCAGCAAGGUGUCUUGAAUGUGCAGAAUCGAAAGCCAGUUAUGAAGGGAAAGCUAUUGUUGCUGAAAGGGAGAGCUGAGAAAGAACAAUUCAAUACAACCUUGGAAACAAUGCAUACCUGGGCACAACAUGGAGAAAAACAGAUANGUUCGGUCUUUUCAUUUCCUUUUAUUUGUAGUUAUAGAUUUUUGUUAUUAAUGUACAUAGCUUUAANUAGCAUAGUAAAUAAUAGGAUAGAUAAUAUGUUGUUUUUCAUAAAAAUAAAAAGAAUUAAUUUUGAUCUAUGGCCAAUUUAAACAAAUUUUCUUUCUCUUAGCUUUGUAGUU